GACGAACGCUGGCGGCGUGCUUAACACAUGCAAGUCGAACGGAAAGGCCCUGCUUGCAGGGUGCUCGAGUGGCGAACGGGUGAGUAACACGUGGGUGAUCUGCCCCUUACUUUGGGAUAAGCCUGGGAAACUGGGUCUAAUACUGGAUAGGACCAUGCUGUAGGUGGUGUGGUGGAAAGAUUAGUUUCGGUAAGGGAUGAGCUCGCGGCCUAUCAGCUUGUUGGUGGGGUAAUGGCCUACCAAGGCGUCGACGGGUAGCCGGCCUGAGAGGGUGGACGGCCACAUUGGGACUGAGAUACGGCCCAGACUCCUACGGGAGGCAGCAGUGGGGAAUAUUGCACAAUGGGCGCAAGCCUGAUGCAGCGACGCCGCGUGGGGGAUGACGGCCUUCGGGUUGUAAACUCCUUUCGGCCAUGACGAAGCCCUUGUGGUGACGGUAGUGGUAGAAGAAGCACCGGCUAACUACGUG
rnacentral:rRNA from 1 species